AAAAUUAAAAUAAUAUUCCUACCAAAAAUACUAAUAUUCUUGAAAAUAAAGUGGAACUAUUUUUAUAGGUUCGAAUAUAUGUAAGGUUGAUAAACUAAGACUAAAUAGAUUAAAUAUCAAUUAACUAAAUAAAAGAAAAUAUUUUCGUGAUUUUUAUUUUUGAAAUAAAAUAAAGUAAAAGAGUCAAAACUAGUUAAAAUAUCGUUAUUAGACCUAACUCUAUAUUUAAAUGCUAAAAUGUGUAAAAUUUCAAGAGGGUAAAAAAUUAUAUGUCUAUAGAGGGCUUCCCUUCGAACUUGCCAACUUGCAUGCUCCACCAUACUUUUAGCCUGUGCCUGAAUCGCCUUGGCGUCAACCUUGAACUGGGUCACUCUAGCAUCAGCCUCGAUCUUGGCCACAAACACCUUUGAUUUGGUUGCCUCGAGUUCCUUGACCAGAUUCUCUUGACCAGAAAUAGCUAAGUUUAGUUGAGAUUGGAUCUCCUCGAUCUUAUUUUCCUGCACCAAGGUUUUCUCUUUUGUAGCCCGUAGCUGGGACUUGGCCAACAGCCAGUUGUGCUUGGACAACUUCCUUUUUCGAGGCUAAGAUAUCCACAUUUUUCUUGAACUCCUCAGCCUCAGCUUGUAUCGUGUUUACCUGCGCUUAGAGCUACCCGAUUUGUACAAGCCUCUAUCAGACAUGCAUGAUAGAUUCGUUAGCCACUGUGGCCAAUUUGUCGUCACAAUCUUGAAAUACUCGAUUUACUUGCUCUUCCAUCUCGGCAUGCUCCCUCCGAGCUGCAUCUAACUUGGCCUGAAGCUUCUUAUCGAGAAACUUGCAGGUGUCCCUUUUCUUAGUAAACUACCAAACCUCAGCCUUGUGUUAUGUUAACUCCAACCGGUAUCAGCGGAAAGAUGCAGUACCGAGGCCUGAAAGCAUAAAGGAAGGUGUUGUGUUUAUUUACAACUUCAAAUUUAAAAUACAAAAUAAAAAAGACACUCGGAGUUACCCGAUUCAGCACAUGUUGAGCUACAUUGAAUACGUAGGGCAUUUCCACCUUUUCCAUCAUGGCCUAGUCCUCUUCGGUCACAAAACACCGAAGAUAGCUGGCAACCCCUACGGAGGCAGAGAAAACCCGACCGUUUUCUAGGAUAGAGAAAACUGUUGAUCUCUUUUGGUCAGGGUCAACACUCGGGAUCGGGAACUGGUCCAAUAACUUUGGGCUCGAGGAAGACCCACUGGCUCCUAGUGAUGGUACCUUCUUUAGCACCGGUAAGUCUUCGAGCCCAGUGACAUCUUCUGAGGCACAAGACUCUAACCCAUCUAAGAAGUUAUGGAUAUAUGUAGCCCUAUGAGGCCCCUUGUAAGAACGACCUUCUAGCAUAGCGGUCUCAUGGAUCAAGGCAUCUGAGAAAUGUUGAGGCCUAAUAAUGUGAAUCACCUCAAGCACAUAUUUCAAGGCAUUUUCCCUUGCUCGAGAAGCAUCAUCCUCGAUUUCCUUUUCGACUCAUCUAGCUCGAGGCGAACUGGCAUCACCCCCCUCGGGUUCAGGAGCUUCGACUAAAGUGCUUCUACCGACCUCCUCAAGUCGAGGCGAUUCAAUUUCAACAACCUCCGAUUCGGAGGCCUCUCGUAUCAAGACACCUGCCCGCACGCAGGCCACCAACUUGGAUUUAUCUUCUGUUUCUUCGGACUCAUUCCUUAGCCGGUGGAUUGAGUUCGAGGAUAGAGCACUGGUGCUUCCCUUGGGUUUACUCACUCCUUUUCAGAUUUUUCUUUUUCGAGUUUGGAGAACUCGAGGCCCUUUUUCAUUUCUUCUCGUCACCCUGCCUCGAGCGAGGGACUCGAGAGACAUAUCCCCAUCACUGGAUGGAGGCCUCAAAGCAACAUCUUUGGUGAGACCUAUAAAAGGAAACAGAAUCGAUAAGAAUUUGAUAGCGUAAGAAGAAUAUCAAACAUUAUUUCAGUAAAGAAAACUUACCUUGAUUACGGGCUUCCCACCGGAACUUCGACAAUUUGCGCCAUGUGCGUGGAAUAUGGUAUUUGUGACACAAGAUUCUCGACCCACUCCUUGAGUCGAGGAACUGCAUCCGGCAUUUAAGCCACAACAACACCUUAAAAUACCGAUAUGAUGGAGGGAAUAGGAUAAAUAAUAUAUAUAAUCUUUAAGGCAACGUUAUACUUACACUUCAUGUUUCAUUUCUCAUGAAAUGGUAUGUCAUCGGUAGGGAUCAAGUCCGAGGUCUUCACUCCCUUUUACUUUACUUCUCGUCACCCUGCCUCAGAGUAGGGGACUCGAGAGGCACAUCUCCAUCACCGGAUGGAGGCCUCAUAGCAACAUCUUUGGUGAGACCUAUAAAAGGAAACAUAAUUGAUAAGAAUUUGACAACGCAAGGAGAAAAUCAAACAUUAUUUCAGUAAAGGGACCCAACGUGAAGGGGAAAGUGUAAACACUUAAAAAACCCUUCACGUGGAUAGUAAAUGAUUCCUCAGGCAAGGGCACCACCACGUGUUUAUCGGCACAACUACAAUCCUCUUUGACCUUGGAGAGGAGAUCAUUGAUGAUCGUACAUAUAUAUAUCUCGAGACCGCCUCGCAUAGACUUGGUAUCACGAAAGUUUUUUCGAUCUUCAAAUAAGUAUGGAUCGGGCACCCUCUUAGAACGAACUCUUCAGGGUGUGGCUCCACUGCAAUCCCAUUGCCGAUAGGUCGUGAUGAAGAGGCUGUUUCUUUAUAUGGAAUAGUCUUAGAAGUUUUCGUCAUUUUAAAGCAGAGAUGAAGAAAAGGAAAUUAAGAAGGUACGCUUAGUAGUUGAAAAAAGGUCCAAGAAAUCUAGGUACAGAAGUUGGUGAAUGAAGAGAUUCUUAAAGGACAAGAGUAGAAGAAGCUUUUGAACAUAAAGUUUGAAUGAAUGAAACUUGGGACAUUUAUAGUUUGCUAAUGACGGUUCAAAACCAGUAGUGACUGACCAACACUGACACACAUUUAAUGCCUUGGAGACUGAACCGACGGGACAUUCCAGUUACCUUUUGUUGCUUACAUCAUGAUCUGUCAAAGCGAGGUUCGAAAGUUCUUAUCAUUUCUCGGCAUCUCCUCUCCAAAAAUCAAGAGGAUUAUCUGUCACACCCUUUUUUUAGCAACCUCACUAAACAUCUUAAAAUAAAUAAAGAUUUUUAAAGCUCAAAAAGGGUUUUUAAUUAAAAGUGACAAAAUUGUGCUCAAAAGGGUUUUUAGAGUCGCCACCUGACAUUGGUUUCAAUGUGCCAGGUCAUCAUUUUUCAAAAAAUGAUUUUCCUUUUAAAACACUUUGAACUCCAAAACUAAGUCUACACCAGAGAUUUCGGUAAGGGGAUUUAUUCGACUCGGGGAGAAGGUGUUAGGCACUCCUCAAGUCACGUAAAAGUCACAGUUGCGUACUCGAUCUUGUUGGGCUUUAAAAUAUUCAAAUUGAGGUAAAAGUAAACACAAAAAAGAAAAAUAAGCAAGAGGCUCGAGGUCGUCCUCAACUAAUAAAAGAAAAAAAGAAAAAAAUAAGAAUACCGUUCUAUACUUCCUCAAAGUGUUCCAUUGUUGGCCUUCAAAUACAAAUUACUUCGGGGCAUGCCCCGAAUAAAAAUGUAUACAAACUUCGCAGGGCAUUCCCCGAAUAAUAAACUAAAAGAAAUGACCUCUUGCCUCAAUUAAACUAGAACCAAACGCCCUAAAUGUUUUCCUAUCUAAGUGAAUCGGCCUAAGCAUGUUCCUAGUGGUAUGUAAGAAAAGUAAAGCAACUGAAUUAUUUUUAAAACCAGUUUUUGUUAGUUAUCUUAUAAUAUCCAAUUUUGACCCCAAAUUCACUAUUCUCAAAAUCUCAAUUCUCGUUUUCCAAUUUAAACUAUAUUAAACAUGGUCCAUUAAUUCAAUGGCUCACAUUUUAAUUAGUAGGCUUUCAACAAAAUUUCAAUCACGAAAUCAUGGAUCCAAACACUGGAAAACAUGGAUUAAGCUCGGAAUUAUCCAUAAAUCGAAUACAAACUAUAACAAACAAGCAAGAACAAUCACUUUCUGGAUAAGCUUUCCAAUUUAAACUAUAGUAAACAUGGUCCAUUAAUUCAAAAGCUCACGUUUUAAUUAGCAGACUUUCAACAAAAUUUCAAACACGAAAUGAUCUAUCCGAAUACUGGAAAACAUGGAUUAAGCUCGAAAAUAUCCAUAAAUCAAAUACAAACUAUAACAAACAAGCAAGAACAAUCACUUUCUGGAUAAGCAAAUUUCACAGAAUCAAUCAGUUGUCCAUACAAUUUAACCACAGAAAUCUAAUCGCCUUUGAAUGAUUCUUUAAAACUCAAUCCAUAGUAAGGAAAGAAAUAGGAGAAAAGAGAUGA
rnacentral:lncRNA from 1 species